rnacentral:rRNA from 1 species
UACGGAGGGUGCAAGCGUUGCUCGGAAUCAUUGGGCGUAAAGCGCACGUAGGCGGCCUGGUAAGUCGGAUGUGAAAUCCCUCGGCUCAACCGAGGACGUGCAUUCGAAACUGCCUGGCUUGAAUAUGGAAGAGGGUCGCGGAAUUCCCGGUGUAGAGGUGAAAUUCGUAGAUAUCGGGAGGAACACCAGUGGCGAAGGCGGCGACCUGGGCCGAUAUUGACGCUGAGGUGCGAAAGCGUGGGGAGCAAACAGG